GAUGAAGAACGCAGCGAAAUGCGAUAAGUAAUGUGAAUUGCAGAGUUCAGUGAAUCAUCGAAUCUUUGAACGCACAUUGCGCCCGUUAGUAUUCUGGCGGGCAUGCCUGUCUGAGCGUCAUUUCAACCCUCACGCCCCUAGGGCGUGGUGUUGGGGAUCGGCCAGCGCCCUCGCGGGCGAGGCCGUCCCCUAAAUCUAGUGGCGGACCCGUCGUGGCCUCCCCUGCGAAGUAGUGAUAUUCCGCAUAGGAGAGCGACGAGCCCCUGCCGUUAAACCCCCAACUUUCUCAGGUUGACCUCAGAUCAGGUAGGAAUACCCGCUGAACUUAAGCAUAUCAAUAAGCGGAGGA
rnacentral:misc_RNA from 1 species